CGGGCGGUUUCCAUGGCGUCCGCGGCGUCCCUGGACUUGGGGCGGCUGGUGCAGGAGGCCGAGGCGCUGGCGAGCGCGGUGCGGGGCGCGCUCGGGCCGCGCGGGGGGCAGGUGCUCGUGACCCGCCCUACGGGAGAGACGCUGCUCACGCGGGACGGGAGGCGAGUGCUGGAGGCGCUGAACCUAGGCCCGCCUACGGCCAGAAUGAUAGUAGCUUGUGUCUCCAGUCACCACAGCAUGACUGGAGAUGGUGCUAAAACAUUUAUCAUCCUGUUGUCCAAAUUACUCAGAGGACUUCAAGCAAUUCUUGAUAAAAGAGAAGGAUCUCCAUUUUGUGAGGAUAUUCAAAGGAGCAAGAGAGAUCAAAAACAUUGUCACAGUCUGAAGCAAAUAUCUCAGUCUCUUAUGACAUUUCAGACUCACAUAUUGGACCACAUCAUGGCACAAGACCUAAGAAAACAUUUUCUAUCUGCUUUUUCUAGUUGGGAAGGAGAGAUAAGUAGGGACACAAUGGAGUCAAUAUUAGAAGCUUACUUUUGUGGAAGAAUAGGAAAUAGUCAUCAGAAGCUUCUUUCCCAAUUGAGUUGUGAUUUCUAUUACAGGUGUAUACCUUUCAAAAAUGGUAAAAAUGAAAUGCUGGAUUUGGUGGAUAAAUAUUUUGUAGAAUUGCAUUCUGCUAUAACAGGUCUUCCUGUUUCAAAUUCCAGGAUCUUAGAGGGACUUGUUCUUCACAGAGAUUUUGCUGUGUACUGUCCAGCAGAUGGUGACAUAAGAAUGUUAAUUGUAACGGAAUCGAUCGACUCUGCUCUUUCUGCCUCUGGUUUAGAAUUUGUUGUAAAUGCAGAAGUUCAGUAUCAGGCUUCCCAAGUCUGGAUUACAAAAAGAACAGAAGCUAUAAUGAAGCACUUGCAAAACAACAAUAUAAAAGUAUUAUUGUCAAGUGUGAAACAACAGGAAAUAGUUAUUUACUAUGCAAAAAUAAGUGGUAUAUCUAUUGUAGAGUGUUUAUCAUCAGAAGAAAUCUCUCUUCUCUGCAAGACCACAGGUAUCUCACCUUUUAUACCUACUCAGGACAAUAUACGUAGUGAGAUCUCUGAAACCAUGAUAGCAACAUUUUGUCAGCCUCUUGUACUUGGCUCCAAGAGAUAUGUUCAUCUUGGUUUGACAAGGACAUGUGCUUUUGAGCCUCAUUGUGUAAUAUUUUGUGGACCAGUGCGUGGUGUCACUGAGCAGCAUGCCUCUGCUUUUCACGGAGCAUUUAAAAUGUUACAACAACUAUUUAAAGAAGUUGAUCUGAGUGACGGAUGUGAAGCACAACCUGAAAACACAAAUAAUGCUUCAAAAAAUGUACAUUGUAGUUGGCAACAGUCAGCUACUCAACAAAAAUUCAUAAUGGAGAAUAUUUCUUGUAAUAGGGAAAAGGUCAAUGACCAACAACUGAAAACAUCUAUGGCUGAAACAGAAAAACAGUUUAUAGACUCUUCUUCAUGGGUAGAUGAAAAUCCAUCAUGUAAUCAAACAGACUUGAAAAAAUCUUCAGACCUAGCCAUGCCCCUUGUAAAAUUAGAGAGUGAUUUUAUGUUUCCAGCUCUAAUUGACAGAGGUAGUUCUGUAAGAGAGUUACAGAAACCACCACUGAAAUGCAAGCAUCCAAGUGAAAUGUGGGUAAUGAAUAAUAGUGAGCCAGUUGUCGUCAACCACAGGAUUUGUAAUGAUAUGACAGCAAUAGAAAACACCAGUACAUCAGUUGUGUCCAAACAGCUGAAUGCUGCUCAAGAGUAUUGGAAACCAGGCAAUCCUAUAGUUCCAUUUGAGUAUGAGAAGAGUUAUAAACACACAGUCCAAAGUUACACCAACUUGGUCAUACAGGCAGGAUCAGUUUUGCCAGUUGGAGGUAACUUUGAGAUCCUGUUACAUUAUUAUCUCCAUUCCUAUGCAAAACAAUGCCAACAACCAAAAAUAACUGUUAUUUCUACUGUAAUUGCUGAUGCAUUGCUAAGCAUUCCAAAAAUCCUUUACAGGACAACAAAAGAGAACAGUUUUACUCAGGUCUAUUUCAAAGCCACUAGUGCACUUCAAACUAAUCAGCAGCUGCCCAUGCAUCAACAAGGUCUAGAAUCGGUGUAUUGUAAAUAUCAGUUAGUAGCUUCUGUUCUUCAUUGUCUUACAAAGCUUCUCACUAUUGAUUUAAUAAUUGGUAUUAAGAGACCACCUCAAAAGACCGAGGUUAAUGAUUCAGAAGAAGAUUUAUGAAAACAACAUUUUUGUUUCUCCUAUGUUGUUACUGGAAGAUUUUGAUUCAAUUAUAUUAAGCCAAAAAUGAUACAUGCAUAUAAACAGGGUAAUCAUACCUGGCAAAUCAUAACUUUACAUCGACCCCUUACAUGAUAUACUUUGUUGCAGUUGUAUAACAGUGGUAGCAACAAUGAUAUACAUAGUCACAUUUCAAUCAUAUGGCAUCACAAUACCAUAUAAUUGUUUUAAGAUACCUCUCCACUGAUUCUUUCCACCUUUCCCUCAACAUCUGACCCUGCUUUAUUGCAUCUCUCACCACUGAAUGCCAGUUAAGUUGGGUAUUUGAAUGUUACUGCUCUUACUUUGGGAACCAUCUUUUUUCACUUUUGAACUACGAAAGACAGCUGAGACCAUGGCAUUCAUUUUGUGACGACAGGGACACAACUCUUCCAAGAAGAACACUAGUUCUCCUUUCUGGAUUGGCCAUUGUGAGGCACUUAUCCAGCAUAUGACUAUUUCAUUUUCAAUCCUGGCAUUAUGAUCAUUUUGUGCCUAUGUUCCACAGGCUCAGGGAAAAGAGAGAAAAGCAUUAGUCCAGCCUUCUGGGAUGCCACCAGGUUCACCUACUGAUCUGACUGUUUCCAUAGUAGAAUCCUCUGCAUUCUAGAUCUGUGGUUCUCAACCUUUUCCAUACUGUGACCCCAUGUUAGAACAGAAAAAUGUUUUGGGACUUCCCACCUUCUGUAUACUCAUAAAGGGAGGAUGGUUCUGUGGUUGUAACUCCUCAAAACCUGUCUGAGACAUUCCAUGUCCUAGAUCAGGGCUAGUGUCUCCCCACUGGUAUUUUCUCCUUGAAGCUUCUGUCCAUCUCCACUGGGUGGUGUAUGCACAUUUUUAAGUGCUCUAAUCUGUGCUGGCAGAGGACAUUCACUUCACGCAUGUGACUUCUUAAAAAAAUAUGCAAGAGUUUUAGCCACAUAUCAAGUAGCAUAACAACAAAUAGAGGCCACAUUUUGAAAAUGUGGCUCAUACAGUACGUCCAGGAACUGAAACUGUAUCUCUUGUAGGUCAACAGUCAGGAUGUGAUGGGCUUUUAGGCUGGCAAUAAUUCAAUUUUUGAAUGUUGCUGUUUGGGAGUUUUUCCAGUCUUAACAUAUUAAUGGGUGGUGUGACAUUGCACCCCAUAUUCAUCAUAGUAAUAUUAUUAUGAUAUGAUUAUGACAUAAUUAUGAUGCAUUUUGUAAAAGAUAAGUAAUGUGAGGUGCCACUGAAAACGUUUUUUGCUUAAUAUGAUUAUCCUAUUUGUAUGCAUGUAUCAUUUUUGUAUCUGAAGUUAUGAAUCUUGAUUAUGUAUCUGUAUUUCAAAUCUAGUUAUACCUGGGUGACGCCCACUAGGCAAGAUGCUUUCAGUCUAGAUCGGUGUUUCUCAAAUGCGGACACCAGAGCCUUUUCUUGCAGCCACAGUCAUCUGGGCUGUGAUUGGGGGCAGGGACACAAAGCAAUGGCCCCUCGCCCAGGGCCUACAGCAGUGGUUGGGCCUUGACCCCUCCAGAGACACAAACACUGGAGGUGCAGGCAGCUGGUGAAUCCCACACUUUCCCAGGGGUAGGGGAGGCAGGCUUCGGCCACAGGGCUUCAGGCUCAGUCCAUGUGAUGGCAGGCUCUGGUUCCAGGCUCCGCUGGGCUCCACUGCCUCCCUGCCCACCUCCCCAUCCAGGGCUUAAUUUGUGUCAGGGCUUUCUGGGGUUAAGUAAGUCUGCUGUGAUACAAAUAUCACUUUUCACAGCAGAACACUUACCAGCUAGCAAGUCUUAGGGGGGAAAAAACAUGCAGCCAAAAAAGCAAAAGAAACAAUGAAAAGACAAGAACAUGCAAAGCGCCUUAUUUGUGUUUCUCUUCUGUUUAGGUCCAGUAAAGAAC